AUGGCGCUGGCCGCGGCCGCGGCUGCUGCGGCCGCCGGAGUGAGCCAGGCGGCGGUGCUGGGCUUCCUGCAGGAGAACGGCGGGAAGGUGCGCAACUCGGAGCUGCUGAGCCGCUUCAAACCGCUGCUGGAGGCCGGCGACCCACGCGGCCGCGCCGCCCGCAGGGACCGCUUCAAGCAGUUCGUCAACAACGUGGCCGUGGUGAAGGAGCUCGACGGCGUCAAAUUCGUGGUGCUGAGGAAGAAGUCGCGGUCCCGCGACGGACCCGAGCCCCCGCCCUGCUGCUUCCAGAGCGCCCCGGAGGCACCAGCCCCGCCGUCGAAGGUCACUUCUGUCUCACAGGAGGAAACCGCGGCCUCGGGGGCUCCGUCCUCGUCCUCGGCACCGAGGGCGGCGGAACCGGCUGAGGACCCGGCCCCGCCAUCAGAGCAGCAGGACACCGCCGGGGCUCCGGCCUCUGAGACCACUCAGGGGCUGUUGUUAGGCCCGGCCUGGCAGUCAGGGGUGCCCUCGGACCCCCAGAUUCCAGCCUUCGAGCUGGCCCAGCCCCCUGAGGGUCUCUCUGAAGACGUGGCCCCACCGUUCACGGCGCCGUCGGAGGCACCCUUGCCCCAUGUAGAACCGCCAGACCCGGAAGCUGCGCCUCGGAAGCCACCACCACCCACUCCGCGCCCUCCGCCACAGAAGCCCUGCAUGCUGCCUGUGCGCUGCGUCCCCGGCCCCUCGGCGCUGCGGAUCCGGGCUGAGGAGCAGGGCCUGCGCAGGCAGCUGUCGGAGGAGCCCAGCCCGCGGAGCUCCCCGAUGCUGCUGCGGCGGCUCUCGGUUGAGGAGUCCGGCCUGGGCCUCGGUCUGGGCUCCGGCCGCUCCCCUCACCUGAGGCGUCUGUCGCGCGCCGGCCCGCGCCUGCUGAGCCCCGACACCGAGGAGGCUCCGGCUGCCCCGCCGCCGUCCGCCGUGCCCCUGGAGCCGGCCGAACACGAGUGGCUAGUGCGGACGGCUGGGGGCCGCUGGACCCACCAGCUGCACGGGCUGCUGCUGCGCGACCUCGGCCUGGCAGCCAAACGCGACUUCAUGUCUGGUUUCACGGCCCUGCACUGGGCCGCUAAGAGCGGCGACCUCGAGAUGGUGCAGCAGCUGGUGGAGGUCGCGCGGCGUGGGGGCGCACGGGUCGACGUCAACGCGCGCUCGCACGGCGGCUAUACGCCGCUGCACUUGGCGGCGCUGCACGGCCACGAGGAUGCGGCCGUGCUCUUGGUAGUCCGGCUGGGCGCGCAGGUGCACGUGCGCGACCACAGCGGACGGCGCGCUUACCAGUACCUGCAGUCGGGCGCCUCGUAUGCUCUGCGUCGCCUACUUGGCGACCCUGGCCUGCGAGGUUCGACUGAACCCGACGGGGCUGCUGGUGGUAGUGGCAGUUUUGCGGCCCGGCGCCCCGUGCAGGUGGCGGCCACCAUCCUCAGUUCCACCACCAGCGCGUUUCUGGGCGUCCUGGCUGAUGACCUGAUGCUCCAGGAUCUGGCUCGAGGCAUGAGGAAGUCAAGCUCCUUAAGCAAAUUCUUGGGAGCCUCGCCCAUGGCUCCUCGUAAAAAGACAAAGAUCCGCGGCAGUCUGCCAGCCUUUUCAGAAAUCUCUCGUCGACCCACUCAGGGGCCCUUGGCUGGUCUAGUGCCCAGCCUACCCCCAGCAACCUGA
rnacentral:lncRNA from 1 species